GACGAACGCUGGCGGCGUGCUUAACACAUGCAAGUCGAACGAAGAGCGAUGGAAGCUUGCUUCUAUCAAUCUUAGUGGCGAACGGGUGAGUAACGCGUAAUCAACCUGCCCUUCAGAGGGGGACAACAGUUGGAAACGACUGCUAAUACCGCAUACGAUCUAAUCUCGGCAUCGAGGAUAGAUGAAAGGUGGCCUCUACAUGUAAGCUAUCACUGAAGUCGGGGAUUGCGUCUGAUUAGCUAGUUGGAGGGGGAACGGCCCACCAAGGCGAUGAUCAGUAGCCGGUCUGAGAGGAUGAACGGCCACAGUGGGACUGAGACACGGCCCAGACUCCUACGGGAGGCAGCAGUGGGGAAUCUUCCGCAAUGGACGAAAGUCUGACGGAGCAACGCCGCGUGAGUGAUGACGGCCUUCGGGUUGUAAAGCUCUGUUAAUCGGGACGAAAGGCCUUCUUGCGAAUAGUGAGAAGGAUUGACGGUACCGGAAGAGAAAGCCACGGCUAACUACGUG
rnacentral:rRNA from 1 species